GUUUGACCUCGGAUCAGGUAGGAAUACCCGCUGAACUUAAGCAUAUCAAUAAGCGGAGGA
rnacentral:rRNA from 4 species